CAGUCGCGCGGUAACACGAAGGGUGCAAGCGUUACUCGGAAUUACUGGGCGUAAAGCGUGCGUAGGUGGUGGUUUAAGUCCGUUGUGAAAGCCCUGGGCUCAACCUGGGAAUUGCAGUGGAUACUGGGUCACUAGAGUGUGGUAGAGGAUAGUGGAAUUUCCGAUGUAGCAGUGAAAUGCGUAGAGAUCGGAAGGAACAUCUGUGGCGAAGGCGACUAUCUGGGCCAACACUGACACUGAGGCACGAAAGCGUGGGGAGCAAACAGGAUUAGAUACCCCAGUAGUCCCUGUCUCUUAUACA
rnacentral:rRNA from 1 species